UAGAAUCGAGGUGUUUCUUUCCUACAGGGCAGAUCCACAGCAGACCAGGACAGGAGAGAGUGGAGUCUGAAGAACACAUUAUGUGUCACAAUAAUUACAGACGCGGACGACAAAAGAGCAAUCUUAUCAGUAUGAAUUUCUAGAAUCAGUCCAGCCACAGCCCUGACCCCAGUGAACUACACUCGUGUGAUGACGAGUAACCUUGCCUUAGGCCGGUGGUUCCUGGUCCCCUGGCUGAGGCUGUCCCUCACGACACCCCUCCGCCUCCCCUGGACGUCAAGGGAGGUUCCGCCUGUGCUGUCAGAUAGCUACUGGACUCCCUACAUUGUGGGGGUCAGCCUUCCCUGUAGCUCAGUUGGUAGAGCAUGGUGUUUGCAACACCAGGGUUGUGGGUUUUAUUCCCACGGGGGGCCAGCACAGAAAAAAAGGAAAAAAAAA
rnacentral:tRNA from 1 species